GUUUUGACACUUGGCAUCCAUUGAGGGAGGUUUCAACAUUUUUUGUAAGAUUAAAAAAAAUCAAAAAGAAAAUAUUAUUACUACUUUUAGAAACUUGAGAGUGGCAUCUUUGCUAAUUGUAUUUUUAUUGAAGGGUAGCCAUGUAAUAGCACCUGAAAUUUACUUUAUUUUCGAAUUAUUUUUAACCUUUAAUCUGAGUAACAUUAAUUAUUAAUUCACAUUAACUAUCCACUACCUAUUUCUAAGCCAAUCACUAUUUAACAACUUAAACCAUUUUAAAAAUUUGUUCACAAUCUAUUUAAUGUCACCAUGACCUACUCAAUUCACGUUCAAAAAAAUCUACUCAAUUCAAUUCAAUGUACCUUGCAGAUUGAAACAAGUGGGUUAUCCCAAAUUUUAAAUAAACAUUUAAAACUGAAUUUGAAUUAAAAAGAAAUUAAGAGAGCCCAAUUUUUCGAAGCCUUUUCAGAUUUUAAUUCUAUUGAACAAAAAACCCUGACUUUGCAUAGCACGCCUCUGUCUUUUCCCCUCCCAAGCCAUUGUUGGAAACGUAAACCUCUUUAUUCUUUUUGAAAAGGAACUUCCAACGCAAAUCUCAAGCUUCCAUACCCUGCUUGACCCAUUAGUUAGCAUAAAGCCUGGAGCUCUUCCACCGAAACUGCAUCACAAUUUUGCUAGAAGAUGUAGAAGACGAAGUGCUUUCGUUUCUGCUCUCUCACUCUCUGAUGCUGUCGUUUCUGCAUCACAUUUUUUCUCAAUUUUUUGUGUCUCAUUUGAUUUCAUAGGUUCGCUGCAGUCUCUUGAAUAAUAUAGUGGAGCAACUACCCAUCUAUCUGCAGAACAAUAUAUGUGAAAUGAAUCCAGAUGCAAAUGAGAUUGGAAAAGAAGAACAAUGAGAAUCAUGUCUAAGGGAGAUUUUGAUAAAUUCCAUUUUCAUAAUUUAUGUCAUCCCCCAUCAUAUGCUUUGUGGCUUGAGAAUUCGCCAUUCUGCAGUGAUGGUUGGAAACAUUAGCUGUAUAUUACGCAUGGAACACACCCCUGAGGAUGCUUUUCAUGGUUUCUAGAUUGAAUAAUCUCUUGAAGAGCUUGCACCUGCUUGCAUCUUGGAACUCCUGAGCAUGUCAAAUACCCCUGAAAAUUUUGAUAGGAGACGUGGAGCAAUAGCAGCUUUGUGAGAACUGCUUAGACAGGGUCUUGAUGUUGGAGCUUCAUGCCAAGUACAUGACUGGCCUUCCUUUCUAAGCCAAGCAUUGGGAAGUUUGCUGGCUAAUGAGAUAGGUUAUCUCCUUCCUUGGAAUAUCUUAGCUGUGAUGCGAAAGAAUAAGUAGACAAUUGAAUCACAGAAUUUAAGAGUAAUACUAUAUUCAAGUUGUUUCUAUAUAAUUUUUACAGCUCAUUUGGCACUUCGAUUUUCCAGCAAGCAAAAAGAAUUGGUAACACCCUCUUCAAAGCUGAAGCAUUUUAAUAUUUGUUACAAUCCAUAUUGUUUUUUAUUUGCUUACAUUCUCAAACAAUGGGUUUCCUAAUUUCACCCUGAUACCCAGUAUUGUUAUUUAUAUGAUGCAGAUUAACAAAGCAAAAGACAUAUCUGAUUGUUUGAUGGCUUCAGAUGGCUUUGAUCUGAAAUUUGAGGAAGCUUUCUGCUUAUUCCUUCUUGGAAUGGGCACAAAGGCUGAGGCGGUUGAAAAGCUUUAGCAGCUUGAGCUGAACUCAAAUCCAAAGCAUAACUCUGUCUUGGGGAAGGCAAUAAUUGAUGCUUCUGAUGCUAACCCAUCUUUGCUAUUUCUCUUAUUAUCAUGUUCACGCAGCUGAAGAUGACAGUGGAAUUGAACCUGCUAAUACAAUGCAAUUCAACUUGGAGACCAUAAGAAAGGGUACAAAUAACUUUUCCGACACAAAUAUUCUAGGACAAAGGAUUUGGACCUGUUUACAAGGGUAAGCAUUCCAAUGGAUUAGAGGUUAUUUACAAAUUCAGGACAAGGGGAUGAGGAAUUCAAGAACGAGGUGUAGUUGUUGGCCAAGCUACAACACAUAAAUUUAGUCAGGCUACUUGGUUUCAGUUUGGAAAGAGUAGAGAAGUUACUGGUCUAUGAGUUUGUUCCCAAUAAAAGCCUUUACUACUUUAUUUUUGGUGAGAACUUUUCUUGAUGUGAUGGCAGUGGCCCCUUCACUGAUAAUUCAGUUCUGCUGAAUGGUAAGGCGUACAGUCUGCACAGGCUUGACAUGAUUUGAUAACGUGAAGAGCUGCUUUGAAACUACAUCUAGGAAAUUGGAUUUCUUCAACGAAAUAGUAGAAGGAAGGAAGGAACAGCUUUUGGACAUAUGCCAUCAUAGGGAGAAAUAAUUUUGGAUAGAGAAAAUGAACUAGAAAAAUAAUGUUAAGAAAUGAAGCAUUGUCAUCUCUUUUUUAAUGCAUUAAUAUUCAUCUAGGAAACUCGAUUUCUUCAACGAAAUAGUAGAAGGAAGGAUGAGCUUUUGGACAUAUGCAAUCAUAGGGAGAAAUAAUUUUGGAUAGAGAAAAUGAAGUAGAAAAAUAAUGUUAAGAAAUGAAGCAUUGUCACUUCUUUUUUAAUGCAUUUAUAUUCAAUGAUGCAUAUUAAUAAUUUUGAAGAAGAAUUUUGAAGGAAAGUGGUAUGACAUUAAUAACGGCUGAAGAUUUAGAUGAAGCAGCUCACAAAGCAGUGAAAGCCAUUAACAAAUGAAGGGUUACUUCUGUUCAAAUUCCAAAAUCACUUUAAUUACACCAUUAUUUUUUGUGUU